rnacentral:lncRNA from 1 species
GGCUUCACUUGAAGUUAGAUGUCAGACGGUUAUCUGUUUUCCCUGUGGACUGAAAGCCAGGUCUGAGGGUAUCAUGUGCACGCAGAAAUAAACCAGAGCUCUCAGUCAUCCGUGACUGUUUACGCGUAGGAAAGAACAUGUAUUCGUUUUGCAGUUGGCAUGGAUACAACCAGUAAUGAGAAAUGUCAAGAGUUCAAGUAUUUAUGAUUAGUUGGCUCUAAGCACCUCUAGAUUCAGUCUUGGAUCAUGUGGCUUUUCCAUUAAAAAAAAAAAAAAAAAAAACUG